GCGGGGAUAGCUCAGCUGGGAGAGCGUCAGACUGAAGCCAAACUUCAUCUGCAAUCUGAAGGCCGUGUGUUCGAUCCACACUCACCGCA